GGCUAAGAUUGGCAGUGAGCAAAGCAGUAGAGGUUGGGAAUAACAAUAACCUCACUCGGGUCGUCAAGAAUUAUGCCGAUACCGUCGUUCACCACGCCGGACAGGCCGUUGCGGAGGGUGCAAAAAUUCUCCAAGAUCGCAUUGGGGCACGGAAUUUCAGAAGUAUUAGGCAGACUAUACAAAGAUUGGAAGAAGCUGCUGUUUCUUG
rnacentral:misc_RNA from 1 species